rnacentral:rRNA from 1 species
AUANACNUUGCAACGUCGAGCGGAUGACGGGAGCUUGCUCCUUGAUUCAGCGGCGGACGGGUGAGUAAUGCCUAGGAAUCUGCCUGGUAGUGGGGGACAACGUUUCGAAAGGAACGCUAAUACCGCAUACGUCCUACGGGAGAAAGCAGGGGACCUUCGGGCCUUGCGCUAUCAGAUGAGCCUAGGUCGGAUUAGCUUGUUGGUGAGGUAAUGGCUCACCAAGGCGACGAUCCGUAACUGGUCUGAGAGGAUGAUCAGUCACACUGGAACUGAGACACGGUCCAGACUCCUACGGGAGGCAGCAGUGGGGAAUAUUGGACAAUGGGCGAAAGCCUGAUCCAGCCAUGCCGCGUGUGUGAAGAAGGUCUUCGGAUUGUAAAGCACUUUAAGUUGGGAGGAAGGGCAGUAAGCUAAUACCUUGCUGUUUUGACGUUACCGACAGAAUAAGCACCGGCUAACUCUGUGCCAGCAGCCGCGGUAAUACAGAGGGUGCAAGCGUUAAUCGGAAUUACUGGGCGUAAAGCGCGCGUAGGUGGUUUGUUAAGUUGGAUGUGAAAGCCCCGGGCUCA